UGAAAUGGGAUCGGAUAACAA
rnacentral:piRNA from 1 species